UACCGGUCAAAUCCCAGACAUACAAUUCCAACUAUAAGCCCCCAUUGCAAUGGCUCUAGCCUCUAGUGAGCUGCAAGUUUUGGCCUGCAACACCUGAAAGACGCGUGUACUUCCCUCUCAAAAACUGCAAAAACUGGGUGCUUAAAGAAAAAUGAUUCCUCGUAGAGCAGCAAUGCAUUCGGCGAAGAGGUCUCGAACCACGGAGACCGUGUACAGUUUCCGAGGACAAAUAUGUUUCGGAAGCUCACACGACGAUCGCAUCAGAAAUGUUGGGAGGGAGACUGAUUGAAAGUAAUCAACAAAAUCUUGUUCCAUAGAUGAUCAAGUCUACACAUUGAAGAAUUAUAUCAUGUUCUGCUACGAUGAGAUUGAUCAAUCAAACAGGUGGCUAGCUGCUACUCCGUUUGAUCAUUAACCCUCUGGUGAUCAUUUUGGAUGAAAGCAGAAGACAUGAGCACAGCAGACUCCCAGCCAAAUGUUGAUGGCGCCGUAGUAGCACUAGUCAUAUUAAUCAAAGGAAGGUUCUCGGAACGAGCAGCAGCUGCGUGUGCACUAACAUUCCCAUUCUGCAGUACUUGUUGCAAUUGGUGUUGUCCAGGAAAUGGAUCCUCAUUGAUCAACGAAUUCAGAAACGAAGAGAAGACGUCGUCCUCUUCAUUUCCUCCUCCCGCAAGUAGUACUCCACCGUGGCUGUUGUUGCUCCUCAAACUCAAAGUACCCGUUGCCGCGGCCGAAGAAGAAGCAUCGGGAUUGUUGAUGGACGUGAUCAUAUUUGCAAAGCCAUGGACUAUAGUGCCCAGAUCAUGAUCAGCAAUUGCGAUGUUUCCAUCAUUACGGCUGUUAUUUGGAUCCCCUUCUUUAUGGACAAGACGAUCAGAAGGGGGACUAGGGUUAGGGUUUGAGAACCGAUCAUUGGCUUUGGAAGAAGAAGCAACAGCAGUUGAUUUGUUUGUGUUGUCCACGUCAGCAUCAUCAGCAGCAGAGUGAUGAUCUGGAUUGAGAGGCUUGUGGGUUCUGGGAUCUAUGCCUUGGCUUAUCAGCUUCUUGCUCAGAAGGCGAUGGAGGCGAAGGAUGAGAUCUUCUUCAUCGGGGGCGAUCUGGCCGCGCUUGACAGAAGGCGGAGAUAGUUCAUCCAGCGGAGGCGGCAGCUCUUACCGCAGCGGAGCAACCCAGCCCGCUUGGGAAGGGUCCGCCACCGUCCCUCUCCUUCUUUCUUGAUGUAAUUUGCCAGCAGCUCGUCCUCUUCGGGAGUCCAAGGCCCUCUCUUCAAACCCACCUUUGCGCAACACGGCGUCUUGGUCCCUCCAGCAACCCCAGCCGCCUUGCUCGACGAGGACGACGCUGUUAUCGUCGUUUGCAUCUUAGCACUUGCUGCUGCCGCUGCUUUCGACGAAGACGAUGGGUUCCUCAUUGUAAAGCUUUUUCAGUGUUUUUUUUUCUUCUGAGUAGGAGUGGAUCGAAUGCGAAUACAAAUGGAGAUUUGAUAUCUUGAGAACCUGAUCUUGUUUUUCUUACUUCUGUGAGGUUUUAAGAUGCUGCGUUUGUGUGUAGGUGGAUUUUAGUUUUGCAUCUUUAAUUUGUUUGGUAGUGAGGAUGGGGGAUGAGAGAUAGAGAGAGAGAGAGAGAUGAGAGAUGGGGAGCCGUGACACACAGUGCUGGGUUUUGUUGUAAUAAUAUUCUAAUAGGCAGCUAAAUAUACUCUCACGCACCACUCUAUUGCUUUAA